UGAACUCUAGCAAAGCAAAUUCUUCGUCCCACGAUUAAUUAUAAUACCAUAAUUCGAACUCUAAAUAAAUCGAAGCAAUACAAUGGAAAUCGACAUGUUCCGAAUCCGAUGUCAACACAUCAGAAUCAUAAUUUUGAUUAAAAUGAUUUCGAUUUUGGAGUUUCUAAACAUCUCCCGUCAGAAUCAGAACUUCGAUGGGUAGAUUCAUACGAUGAUUAAGUUUCUUCAAUGAGUUUCAACGAUACCUCAAGGAAGAGAACCCGUCAAAGUUCGACACUUGGUGAUGAUUCAGUGGAGUGCAAUUAGGCAUUUAGCUCCAGAACCAACAAAAUUAAAUACCUACAAGCAAUGAAAGAAAUGGGAGGAGAGGGUUGUUGCACCAGUCUGUCAUUUCUUGACCUUGGUAUGAUUGAAGUCAUGUGAUUGUGUAAUUUUUUGAUAUCCGAAUGGACCAGAGAUGCCAUUAUUACCAAGGGGGAUCAUCAUUCACCAAGAAUUAAUCCUGAACCAUGAGAUUAGCACAAGCUUUACUUAUCAAUCGACGGACCAACAGAAUCAUCUGUACACAAAGUGAUAGCUGAACGGGGGCGAGUUCAAUAUGAGAUUUAAAAAAUAAAGCAUUUGCGUCCGGUGCAGAUCUCUUCAAGGGAAGUAAGUACUCUGUUCUGCCAGAAUUUGAACACUGACUUUUGUUUUGUCUUAAUGUCUGUCUUUUUUGAACAUUUGUGUUGAUUGUUAUUUUAUUUUAAAUGGUUAAAUCAGUUAAAGUUACCUUAACAUAUUAACUACCCUAAUGUUUGAUUAUUGCCAGAGUUUACAUAACCCUUAGAAAAUGUCUCUAACUAUAGGAACAUGUAGAGGAAGGACUGGUGAUGUGUAUGUUUCCGCCACCACCCUGAAAUCAAGUGUUUAAGGAAUACAAAGAUGAUACCAUGAGAAGAUCGACCUUGAAGAGAACUACAGAGAUACCAAUGUUGGGAUUAGCUUAUACCAAAAGCCUGAAGUUUGUUGUUAUAAUGCAUUUUCUUCUUCCUGAUUCUCCAAGGUUUUGUGUUCCAAACAAUCCUGAAUGAAUAAUAAAGCACAUUAAGCUAUUCAAAUACAUCAUGUUAUAAUAUAUAUGAAAACACAUUUUGUGUGUUCAAAUAUUCUCGCUUGCGUGUUGUAUUAACUGUAGUUUUUGUCUAGUUCAGUUUACUUUUGUUUCUCUA